rnacentral:rRNA from 1 species
GAGCCAGACUCCUACGGGAGGCAGCAGUGGGGGAUAUUGCACAAUGGGGGGAACCCUGAUGCAACGACGCCGCGUGGGUGAAGGAGUAUUUCGGUAUGUAAAGCCCUAUCGGCAGGGAAGAAGCAAGACGGUACCUGACUAAGAAGCCCCGGCUAACUACGUGCCAGCAGCCGCGGUAAUACGUAGGGGGCAAGCGUUAUCCGGAUUUACUGGGUGUAAAGGGAGCGUAGACGGUUAUGUAAGUCUGGAGUGAAAGCCCGGGGCCCAACCCCGGGACUGCUUUGGAAACUGUGUAACUGGAGUACAGGAGGGGCAGGCGGAAUUCCUGGUGUAGCGGUGAAAUGCGUAGAUAUCAGGAGGAACACCGGCGGCGAAGGCGGCCUGCUGGACUGAAACUGACGUUGAGGCUCGAAAGCGUGGGGAGCAAACAGGAUUAGAUACCCCGGUAGUU